rnacentral:rRNA from 1 species
CGCCUCUACGGGACGCAGCAGUAGGGAAUCUUCCACAAUGGACGAAAGUCUGAUGGAGCAACGCCGCGUGAGUGAAGAAGGGUUUCGGCUCGUAAAGCUCUGUUGGUAGUGAAGAAAGAUAGAGGUAGUAACUGGCCUUUAUUUGACGGGAAUUACUUAGAAAGUCACGGCUAAAUACGUGCCAGCAGCCGCGGUAAUACGUAGGUGGCAAGCGUUUUCCGGAUUUAUUGGGCGUAAA